UACGUAGGGCGCAAGCGUUGUCCGGAAUUAUUGGGCGUAAAGAGCUCGUAGGCGGUUUGUCGCGUCUGCUGUGAAAACCUAAGGCUCAACCUUGGGCUUGCAGUGGGUACGGGCAGACUAGAGUGCGGUAGGGGUGACUGGAAUUCCUGGUGUAGCGGUGGAAUGCGCAGAUAUCUGGAGGAACACCGGUGGCGAAGGCGGCGUCCUGGACCGAGAUUGACGCUGAGGCGCGAAAGCCAGGGGAGCAAACGGG
rnacentral:rRNA from 1 species